AAUGUCUCCGACGAGUGGAUUCCGUUUCUAGUAUACUAAUGAUCAACGCACGCAAAACAACUGUAAAAGAUGAGACAGGUGGCAAUUUUUCUGCUGGGAUUACUUGUUGUGGUGGUUUGCGUAGUUUAUUCACAAGGACAAGCGCUGAAAGGCAAACCUUUGGGUCAACCAUGUAACAAACCAAAUACAAUCGUACCAAUUGGACAAGGAAUCCACUGUGUCUGCAACCAGUGGAGCUAUUAUCAGGCGUGCCGUCGAGAAAUGCUAGAUCCUCCCGUUUCUAGCUGAUUUAUUCAGUUAUAAAUAUAGAUAAAUACCUAUUUCAAAUUCAACAGUUUUUUUUUGUAAACUAGAAACGAUUCUUAAAAUGAUGUUAUUCAA